rnacentral:rRNA from 1 species
UACGUAGGGGGCGAGCGUUGUCCGGAUUUAUUGGGCGUAAAGGGCGUGUAGGCGGCCUGUUAAGUCGGGGGUGAAACCCCGGGGCUCAACCCCGGGCAUGCCCUUGAUACUGGGAGGCUUGAGUGCUUUAGAGGGCAGUGGAAUUGCCGGUGUAGCAGUGAAAUGCGUAGAGAUCGGCAGGAACACCAGUGGCGAAGGCGACUGCCUGGGGAGUAACUGACGCUGAGGCGCGAAAGCUGGGGGAGCAAACGGG